rnacentral:lncRNA from 1 species
GAUUAGAAAGUUUUCACAAUUUUACAGUGUACCGGUACAUGAGAGGCUGUCACCGAUUACACAAUAACGGAACAAAAAUUUUGUCGAUGGCUGUACCGAUACGGGGCAAUGGCUGUACCGGUACACAGUGCAAUUUUUAGGCUUUGCACUGUUUUGGGUUCCGCCGAGUUCCGAAGCACUUUCUAAUCAACUAAAUAUUGAUAAUAAUGAUUCUAAUACCUAUAACUAAGUAUGAAUCACCAUAACAUGAAGUAAAGACUUUACCUGAGCAUCGUGAUUCAUGUCGUGAGUUAUCUCUGCCUUCUCCGAAGUCUUGGAUUCUUCGUUCUUCGACGAUAUGCUCCGAAACCUUCAAGACUCCGACUCAAUCCACGAAACUUGCCAACAUAUAAGACUUAACAAUCUCCCCCUUUGGCAAUUUCGUGACAAAACUCACAAUAAGUCAAAAAAAUUACAUCUUAAAGAAAAACGAAGUUCAAUUGUCAUCACCAAAACAUUGAACCCCUCGCAUGUAAUCCAAAUACAAUAUGAAAUGCAAAAGUACAUCAAAACUCCUAAAACAGACUCUAUAACUU